AGUGAACGCUAACGGCAUGCUUAACACAUGCAAGUCGAACGAGAACGGGUUAUAACUUGUUAUAACUGUCAGCUAAGUGGCGCACGGGUGAGUAAUGUAUAGGUAAUAUGCCUCUUACUAAGGGAUAACAAAUGGAAACGUUUGCUAAUACCUUAUACUCCUUAUUAACCUGAGUUAAUAAGGGAAAGAUUUAUUGGUAAGAGAUUAGCCUGUAUUGUAUCAGUUAGUUGGUGGGGUAAUGGCUUACCAAGACUAUGACACAUAACUGGUUUGAGAGGAUGAUCAGUCACACUGGAACUGAGACACGGUCCAGACUCCUACGGGAGGCAGCAGUGGGGAAUAUUGCACAAUGGACGAAAGUCUGAUGCAGCAACGCCGCGUGGAGGAUGACACAUUUCGGUGCGUAAACUCCUUUUAUAUGAGAAGAUAAUGACGGUAUUAUAUGAAUAAGCACCGGCUAACUCCGUGCCAGCAGCCGCAGUAA
rnacentral:rRNA from 1 species